AUGCACCCGCGCUUUGGCCAGGACCGGCGCCUGCUGCAAGAUUUCUGCCCACCCAGCCACACCCAGAGCCGCCCGCCUGCUGCCACCCACAGCUCAGCCUCGCGGCGGGGCUGCCACCUGCAAGGACGUGUUGCGGAGGCGCUGGCUGGGUGCACCCGCGCUUUGGCCAGGACCGGCGCCUGCUGCAAGAUUUCUGCCCACCCAGCCACACCCAGAGCCGCGCCGACGGCCGCCCGCGCUGGCCCCGGUCUGGGGGGGCCGGGAGGGGACGCGCAGCAGUCUCGCCCUCCCUCCCUCCCGCCCCCCGGUGCCACGCCAAGGCACCGGGCGUGCGGGGUGGAGGCGCCAGGAGCCCGCGCUGGGGCUGGGCUGACUCCCACUCCCGCGCGCUCCGCUCUAAGUCUUUCUCGCCCCGCUUCGAGCGUGCUUUGGCCUGCCGGAUCCACUGCCGCGGGGCGCGCGUCGGACCAAGUGGCGCCGGGCUUGUUCAGCCAAAGCCGCUUGUCUCCUGUAACCCAAAGCGACGUGGCGCGGGUUGGCCUUCAGGGGUGGCAGCUCGGUGCCCAGGGGUUUCCAGGCUGGAGACCGGCCCCCCUAUGCCUGACCUGUGCUCUAGCUUCCCCUGUACACAGCGCACAGCACACCUCAUGCCCGCUCUGCCCGGCCGCGCGGGGCAGGAUGCUACCAGGCCACGCUCAGGAGUGUGCGGGGGGCAGCCCUGCUCUUCCCCGCCCCUGGAAGCCCUUCUGCCAGGCCGACGUGCCCCCCGUCCGAGCGAGGCGUGGGGCGGGUUGCCCUGCUCUGCGCGCCGGGCAGUCGGAGGAGUGCGAGGGCUGGAGCAGGGGGGUGGGGACCUCAGAGCUGGGGCCCGGUUCGAAGCAGGGGUCUCAGAGGCCCCCGCCACGGGCACGAGUGACAGCACGUGCAGCCAGGCGGACGUCACGGAUGCAUCAUCGGAAACCCCUGGCGCUGGCUCCGCGCGGUCCUGGGGGCCGUCUUCCCAAGCUAUCCCUUGCGUUGCUGCCUCCCCGACCCUGCUCUCCCCAAGCCAGAAAGCUGGGAAAGUACGUCCUGGUGCUCCCCGGGCGUUGGGGAGGGAGAAGCUGCCGGGUCUCCUUUUCCCAGUGCAGGGAUUCGCUCCCCAUGGGCCCCCGGCAGAGCCGAGCAGCCCUGGUCGCAGCCCCCCCGGGCAGACCUUCCAGCCCGGCUGCUCCGCGGGCCCUGCCGUGA
rnacentral:lncRNA from 1 species